CCUACUGGAGGCUGCAGUGGGGAAUAUUGGGCAAUUGGCGAAAGCCUGACCCAGCAACGCCGCGUGAAGGAAGAAGGCUUUCGGGUUGUAAACUUCUUUUGACAGGGAAGAGCAGAAGACGGUACCUGUCGAAUAAGCCACGGCUAAAUACGUGCCAUCAGCCGCGGUCAUACGUAGGGGUCAAGCGUUGUCCGGAUUUACUGGGUUUAAAGGGAGUGUAGCCGGGCUGACAAGUGAGAUGUGAAAUCCGGGGGAUCAACCACCGAACUGCAUGUGAAACUGUUGGUCUUGAGUAUAGGAGAGGCAGGCGGAAUGCCUAGUGUAGCGGUGAAAUGCGUAGAUAUUAGGAGGAACACCAGUGGCGAAGGCGGCCUGCUGGACGACAACUGACGGUGAGGCGCGAAAGCGUGGGGAGCAAACAGGAUUAGAUACCCGUGUAGUC
rnacentral:rRNA from 1 species